UUUCACGUGUGUGCGUUCUCUCUGUGUAUGCACGAGAGGUAGAGAGGUAGAAGAAACGUUCAGCCACAAUCCAUAUGGAAAAGAAAAUAGAGAAGGAAGAGAACAAAGAAAAAAACAGAUUGUCCUAAACCCAUUCGGUUUGUAAAAGAAAAAAUACAAGAAAACGAAGUGGGCUCCACACAAGGGAGAAAUGAUAUUCUGCUAGGGAAUUUCAACUCAUGAUGUGAGCGAAGGAAAAUAAUUAUAUUUACCUUUAGGGAAAUCUAGAAAACAAAUAAAAGGCUCAAAAUAAAAAUCAAAACGAACUUUCAAACAUUUCAAGAAAAUACCUUGUUAAUAAUUUAAUAUGCCCAAGACGAGAAAAAAAAGCAACUCGGCUAAAGUGAAGAACAAAACUCAAAACUUUUAAUUUAGGUUGUCAUUUAAUCAAAUUAAACUCGUGAAAUUACGAAAACUCAAUUUACGCUUAUAUGAACCAAAUAAAACAAACGAAAUUUUCUGGC
rnacentral:lncRNA from 1 species